AAAAAAAAAAAAGUCACGUCAUGUUUCUCCUCUCCUCGAAACCUUCCAAUGGCUUUUCUUCUUACUCACAGCAAAAGUCAAGGUCUAAAGUAGCUGGUGCCCAUCUACCCUUUGGAGUUUAUUUCUACACUCUUCCUGUCAUAAGCCAAACAUGCGUCUCACCUGGGUCCUAGGUUUUCUCUUCUCCUGCCUGGCAUGCUCUUCCCUCAGGUCUCUGUAGGACCUGUGCCCUCAUCUCCUCCAAGUCUUUGCUUCUUUGUGAAACCUGUGCUAAACACUCUGCUUAAAAUUAUGAGCUUACUUUGCCCAACUGCAACACAACAAUCCAUAACUCCCUUUAUUGCUUUUCUUCUUUUAUGUUUGUUAAUAUCUAACAAUAUAUAUUUUUCAUAUCAACUGGAUUUAUUUUCUAUCUUUCUCCACCACAACAUAAAUUCUAUGGAGCCGAAACCUUUAUUUUAUUCACUGCUAUACCUCCAGCUCCGAGAACAAUGUUUAGUACAUAUUAGAUGAUAAGUAAGUACUGGUUGAAUGGAUAAGUAAAUGAAUUUAUUAAUACUACAGGUGCUCUAGGGAUUUGAAGAUAAUGACUAUGAGGUUUUGGGAGAUAAGAACACUGCUGCUUCCUAUACUGCAAUUAACUAGGAGGAGAUAGAACUGGGUGGUCAGAGUAGGGCAUUGUUAGAGAGGACUUUCAAUCCUAGGCCAAGAGAUCUACAUUUAAUUUAAUGGAAAGUAAAGAGUCAUUGAAAUUCUUUAAGCAGAAGAUUAGAGUUUAAUCUUGUAGCUGAGAGAAUAGGUGGAUGAACAAACAGACUGUUGAUAUCAGUGCAUGAAAGAAUCAUUGAUCAGGUUAUGGAAACACCAAGAGACAGGACUAGUUGAAUGGAUAAUGCAGUCAUUCAUUUAAUAACUAAGGGCUUGCUAGCUGAGAAAAUAAGAGAAAAAGAUGCAUGAAACCAUCCACUGGUAGAAGCUAUAGGAUUUGGCAACUGAUUGCAUAUGGAAAAGGAAGCAAGAGUAAUUAAAGAUGACUGUGCUCUAUCCUCAGUGAUAGAGUCGAUAGGCCAGAUAAGGAGAAGAGGUGGAGAAACCUAAGGCAAGUUUUGAGGGAAAUUGAUAAUUUCUGUCUUGGGAAGUUUUUACCAGAAAAAGAGAUGUCCCUGCAUUCCUGAAGUGUAUUCAUGUGCCUUUCAGAUCUUUUCAGUAAUAGGUGCACAUUUGACCAAACUUGGGAGCUUGCUGCCUCUGAAUUUGUGCUAGGAAGGUGUUUUGGGAAUGACAGUAAAAAUAAUUGGAGUUCCCACUGUGGCUCAGCAGGUUAAGGGCCUGACAUAGUAUCCAUGAGGAUGUGGGUUUGAUCCCUGGCUCCCCUCAAUGGGUUAAGGAUCUGGCAUUGCUGUGGGUGUCGACUACAGGUGCAGUUUGGAUCCCACAUUGCAGUGGCUGGGGGGUGGGCCUGCAGCCACAGCUGCAGCUGUUCUUUGACCCGUAGCACAGGAACUUAUGUAUGCUACAGGUGCGGCCAUGAAAAGAAAAAAAAAA
rnacentral:lncRNA from 1 species